GACGAACGCUGGCGGCGUGCCUAAUACAUGCAAGUCGAACGGACAGGCCCUGCGUUUGUGCGGUGCACGAGUGGCGAACGGGUGAGUAACACGUGUGUAACCUGCACCUGACUUUCUGAUAACUCUACGAAACUCCGGCUAAUACCGCAUAGGAGCUCUUGCUGCAUGGUGGGGGUUGGAAAGUUUCGGCGGUUGGGGAUGGACUCGCGGCUUAUCAGCUUGUUUGUGGGGUAGGUGCUUACCAAGGCUUUGACGGGUAGCCGGCCUGGGAGGGUGAACGGGCACAUUGGGACUGAGGUACGGACCAGAAGCCUACGGGAGGCAGCAGUGGAGAAUAUGGCACAAUGGGCGGAAGCCUGAGACAGCGACGCCGCGUGCGGGAUGACGGCCUACGGGUUGUAAACCGAUGUCGCCUGUGACGAAGAGUGAGUGACGGUAACGGGUAAAGAAGCACCGGCUAACUACGUG
rnacentral:rRNA from 1 species